GCCUGGGUGGCUCAGUCGGUUGAGCGUCUGACUUCAGCUCAGGUCAUGAUCUCAUAGUUUGUGAGUACGAGCCCCACAUCCGGCU
rnacentral:tRNA from 1 species